GACGAACGCUGGCGGCGUGCUUAACACAUGCAAGUCGAACGAAGUGGCGAACGGGUGAGUAACGCGUAAUCAACCUGCCCUUCAGAGGGGGACAACAGUUGGAAACGACUACUAAUACCGAAUAAGGAAGGAGGGGAUGGCUUCUGAUUAGCUAGUUGGAGGGGUAAGGGCCCACCAAGGCGAUGAUCAGUAGCCGGUCUUAGAGGAGUAACGGCCCCAUUUGGACUGAGACACGGCCCAGACCCCUACGGGGGGCAGCAGGGGGUAAUCUUCCGCAAUGGACGACAGUCUGACGGAGCAACGCCGCGGGAGUGAUGACGGCCUUCGGGUUGUAAAGCUCUGUUAAUCGGGACGCGGUACCGGAAUAGAAAGCCACGGCUAACUACGUGCCAGCAGCCGCGGUAAUAC
rnacentral:rRNA from 1 species